AUGAACGCUAGCUACAGGCUUAACACAUGCAAGUCGAGGGGCAUCAGGAAGAAAGCUUGCUUUCUUUGCUGGCGACCGGCGCACGGGUGAGUAACACGUAUCCAACCUGCCCUUUACUCGGGGAUAGCCUUUCGAAAGAAAGAUUAAUACCCGAUAGCAUAAUGAUUCCGCAUGGUUUCAUUAUUAAAGGAUUCCGGUAAAGGAUGGGGAUGCGUUCCAUUAGGUUGUUGGUGAGGUAACGGCUCACCAAGCCUUCGAUGGAUAGGGGUUCUGAGAGGAAGGUCCCCCACAUUGGAACUGAGACACGGUCCAAACUCCUACGGGAGGCAGCAGUGAGGAAUAUUGGUCAAUGGGCGGUAGCCUGAACCAGCCAAGUAGCGUGAAGGAUGAAGGCUCUAUGGGUCGUAAACUUCUUUUAUAUAAGAAUAAAGUGCAGUAUGUAUACUGUUUUGUAUGUAUUAUAUGAAUAAGGAUCGGCUAACUCCGUGCCAGCAGCCGCGGUAAUACGGAGGAUCCGAGCGUUAUCCGGAUUUAUUGGGUUUAAAGGGAGCGUAGGUGGACUGGUAAGUCAGUUGUGAAAGUUUGCGGCUCAACCGUAAAAUUGCAGUUGAUACUGUCAGUCUUGAGUACAGUAGAGGUGGGCGGAAUUCGUGGUGUAGCGGUGAAAUGCUUAGAUAUCACGAAGAACUCCGAUUGCGAAGGCAGCUCACUGGACUGCAACUGACACUGAUGCUCGAAAGUGUGGGUAUCAAACAGGAUUAGAUACCCUGGUAGUCCACACAGUAAACGAUGAAUACUCGCUGUUUGCGAUAUACAGUAAGCGGCCAAGCGAAAGCAUUAAGUAUUCCACCUGGGGAGUACGCCGGCAACGGUGAAACUCAAAGGAAUUGACGGGGGCCCGCACAAGCGGAGGAACAUGUGGUUUAAUUCGAUGAUACGCGAGGAACCUUACCCGGGCUUAAAUUGCAGUGGAAUGAUGUGGAAACAUGUCAGUGAGCAAUCACCGCUGUGAAGGUGCUGCAUGGUUGUCGUCAGCUCGUGCCGUGAGGUGUCGGCUUAAGUGCCAUAACGAGCGCAACCCUUAUCUUUAGUUACUAACAGGUUAUGCUGAGGACUCUAGAGAGACUGCCGUCGUAAGAUGUGAGGAAGGUGGGGAUGACGUCAAAUCAGCACGGCCCUUACGUCCGGGGCUACACACGUGUUACAAUGGGGGGUACAGAAGGCAGCUAGCGGGUGACCGUAUGCUAAUCCCAAAAGCCUCUCUCAGUUCGGAUCGAAGUCUGCAACCCGACUUCGUGAAGCUGGAUUCGCUAGUAAUCGCGCAUCAGCCACGGCGCGGUGAAUACGUUCCCGGGCCUUGUACACACCGCCCGUCAAGCCAUGGGAGCCGGGGGUACCUGAAGUACGUAACCGCAAGGAUCGUCCUAGGGUAAAACUGGUGACUGGGGCU
rnacentral:rRNA from 1 species